UUUUUUUUUCCUUCAGUAAGCUUUCUUUUAACUAGCAACUGUGUGUUCUGCUAGGCUGAUAAGACAGUGGAAUGUUUUUCUAACUACUGAGGCUUCAAGGUUACACCUUCACUCCGCCGGCUCAGACACUAUGGGGAGAUCUCUGACCCCCCCGUGGGAGGCUGAGUUAGACAGACAGCAAAAUUGGCCAAAGAUAUUCCAUUCCAUAUAUCUACGUAGGCUCAGAGGAAGGACAGAGAUCUUAGAAGACAGCUUCCUCCUUCUUCUCGCCGCUCUCUCUUCCGUCCAUGGCCGGCGUCCGGGGAGGACUCUGCUCAUCCAUCACCGCCGACCCUUAGGCUCGAGCUCUCCUGACCCUCAUAACUCUCCGCUUUCUCCAGCAGCGGCUCCGGGAUUUCUCGGGACUCUUCCCAGUUCAGGGGAGUGCUGUGGGAGUUGCUGGGGGUGGGGGGAGGCGAGAGGCUUUUGCCCAUAUCUGAAUAUAUCUGUAUAUAAUUGUAUAUAUUUUCUUGUGUGAUUCAUUAGUGUUUUAAUUAAAGUUGUGUAGUUUAGUUUUCAAUCCA